rnacentral:rRNA from 1 species
ACAGGUGGUGCAUGGCUGUCGUCAGCUCGUGUCGUGAGACGUAGGGUUAAGUCCUGUAACGAGCGCAACCCUUAUUGUUAGUUGCUUUUAGGAAACUAGUAAGACUGCCAGUGAUAAGCUGGAGGAAGGUGAGGAUGACGUCAAGUCAGCAUGCCCCUUAAAUCCCGGGCUACACACGUGCUACAAUGGUCAGGACAAAGAGAUGCUAACUCGCGAGAGUCCGCUAACCUCAAAAACCUGAUCUCAGUUCGGAUUGCAGGCUGCAACUCGCCUGCAUGAAGCCGGAAUCGCUAGUAAUCGCAGGUCAGCUAUACUGCGGUGAAUACGUUCCCGGGCCUUGUACACACCGCCCGUCACACCAUGGAAGCUGACUAGG